rnacentral:rRNA from 1 species
GACGAACGCUGGCGGCGUGCUUAACACAUGCAAGUCGAACGGAAAGGCCCUGCUUUUGUGGGGUGCUCGAGUGGCGAACGGGUUAGUAACACGUGAGUAACCUGCCCUUGACUUUGGGAUAACUUCAGGAAACUUGGGCUAAUACCGGAUAUGAGCUCCUGCUGCAUGGUGGGGGUUGGAAAGUUUCGGCGGUUGGGGAUGGACUCGCGGCUUAUCAGCUUGUUGGUGGGGUAGUGGCUUACCAAGGCUUUGACGGGUAGCCGGCCUGAGAGGGUGACCGGCCACAUUGGGACUGAGAUACGGCCCAGACUCCUACGGGAGGCAGCAGUGGGGAAUAUUGCACAAUGGGCGGAAGCCUGAUGCAGCAACGCCGCGUGCGGGAUGACGGACUUCGGGUUGUAAACCGCUUUCGCCUGUGACGAAGCGUGAGUGACGGUAAUGGGUAAAGAAGCACCGGCUAACUACGUG